rnacentral:tRNA from 1 species
GCCUGGGUGGCUCAGUCGGUUAAGCGUCCGACUUCGGCUCAGGUCGUGAUCUCACGGUUCGUGGGUUCGAGCCCCGCGUCGGGCU